UUUAACUGAAGAGUUUGAUCAUGGCUCAGAUUGAACGCUGGCGGCAGGCUUAACACAUGCAAGUCGAGCGGAGAGAGGUAGCUUGCUACUGAUCUUAGCGGCGGACGGGUGAGUAAUGCUUAGGAAUCUGCCUAUUAGUGGGGG
rnacentral:rRNA from 1 species